rnacentral:lncRNA from 1 species
UAAAUCGAGCCGAGGGAUUCAGUUUUCAGGCGGUGAGCUCCUCUUCCUUGUGGGUCUCGAUGACGAGGUCCGACUGCGGGUAGGCGGCGCAGGUGAGCACCCACCCGGCGGCGACCUGGUCGUCGUCCAGGAAGCUCUGGUCCGACUGGUCCACCUCGCCGGAGACCACCUUGCCGGCGCACGACGAGCAGGAACCAGCCCGGCACGAGUAGGGCAGGUCGAUGCCUUCUUCCUCGGCGUGGUCCAGGAUGUACACGUCGUCGGGGACCUCCAGAUCCACCUCCCCCUCCGGCGUCACCAGCUUCACCUUGUACGUCGCCUGCGCACGAAGCCUCAUGCCCCUCGCCGACGGCGCCGUCAGCGGGAGCACCACACGGGACGAGACGGCCGAGGAAGGUGGAGGGGCGGCUGUGAAGAGGGAGAGGCUGCUCAGCGCGGUGGUCGCCAUUAUUGCAGCUGUGUAAGCUUUCUUGCGAGGAGGAGGAUGGUGUUGGAGAGUGUAUGCAGUAAGCUCUAGCUGGACUGGAGGGGAUGAUGAAGAAGAAGAAGCAGAGGAUGUCCUAGAGGGUGCCACGUGGCCCCUGCAGGUGCUCAGGCUUAUCCUUAAGCUCGGAGCGACCACGGCCACACGAUGAAGGGAUGGACGUCGAUCCACGAGGGCGUGUGGAGGCCAUGCGAUGUAUCCAAUGCGAUUUUGAUCGAUGCACGGCGGCCGUCACAUUUUGGUUUGAGUCAAGCUAGAGAACCUGAUAUGCUGUAAAUUCUUCUAUCUAUAAAUAUUUCGCGACUGGUUUUAGCGAUAGCGAUCAGUCGAUCGAGUGAGUCUAAAUUUCAGUCAGAAAAGAAAAAAAAUCACAAUGAUUUUAGCGAUCAGUCCGUCAUGUGUGACCGGACGAGAAGCCAAGAAGUACACCAGGUUUCACAUUCACAUCAAAAACAGACAAAAAAACUCGAGAUGGAAGCGAUCGUGCCGAGAGUGUGAGCAAAGAUCGCCUUAGUAGACAGUCAGCGGUCUCUCCUCCUCUUGGUCACGCAAAUGGACUUUAAAUUGAGCAGGUCAUGGAAUCCUUCGCUCGGGAACAAUGAACAUGAAAUGCCUUAAAAUUACAAUGCUCCGACCUUCAGUGCAGCUCACCUUUCGUGAGAAGUAAGGCUCCACCAAUCACCGCUGGCGAUGGCACUAGGCAUAUCAUGUCAAGAACAUGUCGAUGAGGCCGGGGAGAAAUGGCAGGACGGACGUCAUGGAGGAGCAGUGGGUGGCGCUAACCCUAGCAACACAAGCUAGGGACAAGGGCAUGUGUAGGCCAUGCGAUGUAUCCUGCGGGGGAGCGAUGGAUGGCCGGCCGGCCAAUGGGGAUGCAUGGUGGCCACCGCAUUUUGGAUCAGUUGAGUGAAGCCACAGAUCUCAUACACUGUUCUGUAAAAAUCUUCUAACCAGAAAUAUUGUUUCGACCGGUGUUAGCGAGAGCGAUCAGUCGACCGAGUGAGUCUAAUUUCAUACAGAGAAUUAUGCAGUUGUUUUUAGCGAGCAAUCAGUCCAUCGUGGCGAUUGGAUGAGAAACAAAGGAGUACAUUGGGCACAAGGUUUGACGUCUAGAUCAGAAACAAUAAAAAAACAUUGAGGUGGAAGCGAUUGGUCUCUCCUCCUCUUAGUUGCACAAGGACUUUAAAUUGAGCAAGCCUUUCAAUGAACAUGAAAUGCCUCGGAAUCACGAUGCUCCUACCUUAAGCGAGAAGCAGCACCAAUCAUUGCUGGCACUGGGUAGAUUGUGUCCAGAACAUGUCCACAAGGCCUAGGAGAAAUGGCAGGCUGGGCAUAAUGGAGGAGUAGUGGCCGGCGCUAACCCUAGCAGCACGUGCAAGGGGAAAGGGUCCGCGGCGGGGAUGCAUGUGGCGUAAGUCGACGGGUCGAGAGAUAUGCGAAGAAAACCUUAAGGAGCACUGAUCAAUCUAGGGAAACCAUGCGGGAUGCCAAUCGAUUCAUAAAAAAAAACGUGUGGUGGGUGCCGAUAGAACUAGGGUAAACCGUGCGGGAGGGUUGCCAAUCAAUCUAGGAAAAAUUGUAGCGGGAAGCAUGCGAGGGGUUCGGAACGAUGUAGAAAAAGCCAUGUUUUUUUUCUGAAAAAAGAAGAGGGGAUAAGCUCAUUGUACCAAGAGAAAAUUGAACUCGCAUCACUAACUCGCAUCACUACUUCGUAGCUAGUAAAAAUACCAUCAUUGCAGAGACACAUCACACACCUGCUGGCUCAACCAUCAAAUCCAUUAAUUUCAGUACGUACAUAAAUACUAGCAGCAGCAGCAGUAAUUUGACCGUAUGGAUCGAUCUCAGGCAGGGGUAGUACAAAAAAGAGGAACACAUAAUAUUACUUGAGCAUUUCAUUCAAGCUCGCUCGCACAGCAGCAACCAAAUCGAUGCACGAUAAGAUCCAUGGAGCUUAGAGAGAUUAUGAUAUCAUCAGACACUCUUGCAAAAGCUGAAGACUAAAAACUUAGGCGGUGAGCUCUUCUUCCUUGUGCGUCUCGAUGACGAGGUCGGACUUGGGGUAUGCGUGGCAGGUGAGCACCCACCCGGCCUCCAUCUGGUCGUCGUCGAGGAAGCUCUGGUCCGACUGGUCCACCUCGCCGGAGAUCACCUUGCCGGCGCACGACGAGCACGACCCGGCCCUGCACGAGUAGGGCAGGUCGAUCCCUUCUUCCUCGAAGUGGUCAAGGAUGUACACGUCGUCGGGGACCUCCAUCUCCACCUCCCCCUCCGGCGUCACCAGCUUCACCUUGUACGUCGCCUGAGCACGGAGCCGGAUGGCCCUCGCCGACGGCGUCAGGGGAAGCGCCACGCGGGAUGGGGCGACGAUUGGGGACGGCGCGGGGGCGGCGGAUGUGAAGAGGGAGAAGGGCGCGCGGAGGCUGCUCAGGGCGGUCGCCAUUGCUGCUGAGAGCUGAGAGCUUGCUUGCUUGCUUGUGUGGUGUGAGGAAGAAGAAGGAGGAUGAGCUAGGGGAUGGAUGAAGAGGGGGGAUAAGUAAGUAAAGGGGGGGGCUGUGUGCCACGUGGCGGGACGUGGGUGGGGGGCUUAUCUUGGAGCGAGGAGCGUCACACGAUGCUCAUCCUCGUCGGCGCCGGGGGGCGUGUGGCUGCCCGGCGACAUCCCGUGAUCUCUCUCGCUUUCUCUUUUUUUUUUGACAAAGAAGGCAGCCUAGUUUCUGCUGGGCCUUUUCCGGCCCAAUUACUAACUAACUACUUCGGUUGCUCGGCUUUCCUUCCAGGCCCGCUAAGCGAAGCCGACGGCAGAUGCAGCCGUGGGCUGGCCGGGGAAUAUGCCGAGUUUUGGGCGGGUUAUUUUUUUUUCCUUUGAUGCGAAUAUGCCUUUUUUUUUUCUUGCAACAAGUCUGAACUUUUAUUUCUACGGACAAGUCUUGUAACUAGUACACGCGGAGAGACUUUUUUGAGUUUUGACGCGAGUUUCUGUUUGACUGACUUGUUCUCUGCGUCCAUUCGAUUUAAUUUAUCGAGACUUUUUCUGUGACAGCUAAAUAUCGAGACUUUGUUGCGGGGUUCUUUUUCGUACCAUUGCUUUCCACGCAUUUAUUAAUUUAUGUGAAUGGAGAAAACGUCUUAAAUCUAUAAUAUCUAUAAAGUUGAUCUUCACUAUUUUUGUUUGCAAGCUUGACAUAUAAGAUGUCUACAUCAUACGCAUGCAUAGUCUCCACAUCACCAUCCACAUCAUGUGUUGUAAAUCACUAGGAAUCCAUUUUGGUGGUCUUUUUGAAUGUCAUAUUUUGAUACUUAGGAUUGUCAACUUAACGUUCUAUAUAAAUAUUUCGCCAAAUACACAUAUUUUCAUGACAUUAUCAAUCUUUUUAAGAUCUGCAAACACACAUAUUUUGAUGUUCAUGUACAUCAAAAUUAUUCCUAUUGUUUUGCUCCAUAGGUGUUAUGAAUGAUAAAAUCAUUUUGUCCUACAAUAUUUAUAUUUCUUUUGCAUUUAACCAUAUUAUUAUCAUGUGUUCCUAACGUCAUAUCCAGAUGUGCAUCUAGAACUUUCCGCGGCAACGCGCGGGGAUCACCUAGUUAUUACUGUUUGCAAUCCAUAUAUAAAGCGAAGAUAUAUAAAGCAAAAAAAAAACAUCACCUAGUUAUUACUGUUUGCGGGGAUCCACACCGUAAUAAUAACCUAAACGAACAUAUAUAACAAUCCAUGUGGGCAGAAAAAAACAUACAUGAGACAUAUAUAAAGCGACGUCAUCAGCUAUCUACUCCAAUUAUCCAACUGUUAAUCUGCUACCUAGAUCGCUUACAUAUGCAGGCCGUUGCAUGUGCCGUGCUAUAUCACGAAGAUCCAAGACAUAAUACGUGAUCUAGACAGACAUGUAGCUGCUCUCUGUCCUUUCUUACUGAUCAAGGAACAUUUAUAAAAUUAAAAUGUUCUCAUCAGUUCCUGCUGAUUGUCUUGAGACAUUAGCAACCGGUUAAUGAUAAAGAAUGGAAAUCAACGGGGGUCGUCAUCAGAUGCAGAAUCUCUUGUAUGCUUAGCUUGUGGAUUACUACUGUAAUAAAUGCGCGUGGCGUAAAGUUUGCACCAAAUCACACAGCGACAAACGGUCAGACAUUGCGUACAUGCAUCCAUGUAUCCCUUCAUUUGACCACAUAAAGCAGUAUUACCUCCGUCCAAUAAUAACGGGGUGUAUUAGCUUUCCUUUGAUCUAUGGUUUGACCACAAAUUAUUCUAAUAAUAUAUAAUUAUAAGGCGUAAGUUGAUAUCCAUUAUAUUUCUAUUCAACGAUAUUUGAUUAUGGUUAUGACUUUGAUCACAUUAGUCACAUAUUAAUAGAGUAAUUUGUGAUCAAAGGCGAAGUACUACAACAGCUAAUACACACUUAUGUUUAAUUAAUUAAAACAGACUUGAUGCUUCCCCUCUACACUUUUCCCCCUGAUUAGUUCCAGCUGCUCCUUCCGAGUAAUUCAAAUACAUCUGCUGUAGUUACCGUUCCUCGCUAUUUGGAUUGAUCGAUUGACUGAUUGAUUAAGGUGUGUGCACGUAAGAAGGUCAAUUAAUUGAUUAACUGACUAAGAUCCGUGUGUUUUGGUCUAGCCAUGCAUGAUUUUCACUUUGCUUGCAAGCAAGCAGAUAGCUAGCUAGGCAGUAUUUCGUGCCUCCCAUGCCAUGCAUCUUGGUUUUCCCAGGCCAAAAAACUGUCUGUCUGUCCGUCUGUCAGGCAGCAAGGGGAAUGGUCGAAUAUUGAACCGGUCAUGCACGGGGUAACUGACGACGCUAGAACACGCAGUAUAUCGUACCACGCACGUCUGCUUCUUCUAUUUUGACAAAAAAUAGCAAAGAUAUUUCUUGUUUUUCCCCUCUUCUCAUUCAUGUUUUCUUGGCAUGCUCUUUCUUUUGGUAUGUGGCAAUAAUGAGCUUAUCCGAGUUAGGAUAAGGUUAGCACAGCCACAAUAUUAAUCAAUACUAUUAGUAUAUCGUCUGGUAGUAAUGUGUUGUUAAGUCAUGAUGGUGGAGAACAACAACACACGCUUUGUUAGUUAGAAUGGCCAGCCAGCUAGCUCAGUUGAAUGCCCUUCAAUCUAUGAUUGAUUUGCGUAUGCAUAUUUCUGUUGAAGCCGUCAUAUAUAUGGCGUGGCAGCUGCAUAUGCAAGAGCUAGUGUCCAACAAACAAGAACCAACCAGACCCAAAGCGUGUCGGCGCCGAUAGCCCGUUCUGCCGUUCCCUUGCGUGGCACGACACGGUAACCAAUCAAAAUCCAUAUCAUUUUUUCCUUUCUCAUAAAAAAUGUCUAGUACAGUCGCAAAAAAAAUAAAUGUUUAGUGCUAUAUACUCCUACUCCUUCCUAAAUAUCAUAAGUUUUUCCUACUAAGUUAUAGUUUUGUCUGUCUUAAAUCAAACUUCUUCAAGUUAUAUAUCUUCAUAGUAUGUCCAUUUAAUAUUGUUGAUCUCAGUAGAUUUUAUUUAACUUAGAACGACACGGACACAAUUUCUUAUACUCGUAGUACUAGUACUAUUUGGGAACGAAGCUGGUACUUAGAGUAUUUUUUUUUCGUGAUUCAAGUAUUUUUAUUGAGUGCCUUAAUGAACUCCAUUUUUCAUUUUCGACUCCGAUGUGGCAUGGGCUUUGCCGCAAGAAAAAAAAACAUCGAAAAAAUGGAAAAAAAGAAAGGAAAAGGAAACGGUAAAGUGUGAAAAGGUUUUAAAAAUGCCAGCGUGGGGUCCACCCAGUUUGAGGUUGACGACGACAAGUAGUUGCAGCAGCAGAGGAGUAUUUCUUUCUCCCUUCCGUGCGCCCAAAUUUCUCCUCUCCCCCCUUCCUUCCUGCUCUCUCUUCUUCGCCAUUCGGGACCUCUUUCUUCUCCAAUCUCGCUACUAACUCCUCUCCGAUCAACCGGUCCAGAGACGGAGGCGCAGCAGACGCACCGAGGUAACACGGAGAUCCAUCCCGCCCAACCAUCUUCUCCUGCCCCCCCUCUCAUGAUUUCUGGUGUUUCUGUUGGUUGUUCUUGUUAUGGGAUUGGAUUCGGUUGGAGCUUGGAAGAACACGCGCGCCGUACAUGCAUUCGGCAACGACAGCGGGGGUUUAUUUCCGAUUUCAAGACCCAAGAACGGAUUUUUGGGACGGAUUUGGGGAUUGGGAUGUUUCUGUCUUCCGUGCCGUCGACUCCCGCCCACCUCUGUUGACUUGGACCUCCGGCCCUUUAAUUUUUUUAUUUUAGGAUUUUUGUUCGGGGGAUUUGUUCUUGUAGUAGUACUAGCUCUUUAUUUUUUUUGGAUCAUUGGGAUUUGGAAGGGACAGCCUGGCCUUCGGGUUGAUCGCCAACGCCCCCGCCUUCGAUUUCACCAACCUUCUUCUUCUUGUUGGUGCGAUUCAAGUUUCAGGCUCCCGAUUUGCUCAGCGUUUCUGACCAUCUGCGCCUCGAUUUGCUAGGUCAAUGCUUGCUCGAUUCCAACCUUCGUGAGCAGUAGUGAUCAAUGGAUGCAUCCCAUUUUCUUUCUCUUUCAAAUUUGUUGACUUGGGAUUUUACUCUAUCUUUUGUUCUCCUGUCGGUUGGUUGGUUUGCUUGUAUUGACCCAGUAAUGGAUGGAUACUAAUGGCGUGCUGCUUGGCUGAACUGGUCAGGCGAAGGCGACCGCCAACCACCCCGGAGGAGAUCUGAGACCCGACCGACCGCCGCCUGCUGGAGGGGGAAGCUGGUGGAGCAGCAGGAAGGGCCGUAUGCUUGUCGCAGGCCAUGUGCCCGGACAUGAAUCCGCGCCAUACAGCAAGGUAGUCUAGUGUUUGAUUCCAGGAAUAUCGCCAUACUGUGUUAUGAAUUUUGUGUCCCAAUUCAUAGUCAUAGGUUCCAUGGGAUGCUCAGGAAGGGCUCUGUAUCAAUGAAAUUUCCUGUAUCAAUAAGCCAAUUGUAGUCUCGGACACCUGGUAUAUGCAGAACCAGAAACUUGCUUAGCCUUUAAUUCAUUAGUGUCGUCUGUUAAACAAUGGAAUGGAAGUUCCUUUAGUUUUCUGGUUUCUGGUCUUGCACGCCUGAAACGUCGGUCAACUCUUCGACACUAACCUGAUGCUGUGUUUGGGUAAACCUGAAUGAAGAUAUUUUGUUUAUUUCUCCGGUCACCUAACCCUGUGGAUAUUUGAUUUUGGACAACCUGGUUUGGUAGAGAAGUGCCCUUGAGGCAAGGGAACUUCCUCAUCAGAUAUUUGUGUCUUUGACUGUGUCUGUGUUUUCUAAAUCCCAUUCUGACCCGGUCUUCUUUUCGUACUGGCAGUCAAGUUGAAUCAGAGGUUCUAGACGGUAAUCGUAACCAUCACAGCCAGCUUGAUGCUGAUCAUCUUGUACAAAUUGGGAGGAGUCCUAUCAAGCGUGGUAGCAACAAUCUGUCCACAGACGACAAUUUCUCCUCGAGUGCCUCUUUGCAUAAACAUGAACAUGUGAGCUCCGAUCCAUCGGCCCCUAAGGCCGAUGACCGCUCAAUUAAGUCUGGUGAUGAUUCUGAUGGGGCUGAGAGUACCAAUGGCAAAAGCAACAAUACGGACUCCCCAGGUACUGAAAAUGAUAGCAUCUGGAUACCACCUGAAGCUGCAGACAAGGGAGAUGAGACCGAGAGUAACAUUGCUUAUGAUGACGACGAUGACGAUUAUGGUGAUGGAAUCAAGUGGGGCCAGUCAAGUUUCCCAGCCGCUGGUGAGGAACACGAGGCCAGCCCCAAUCCUAAGGAUGAGCGAGAAAAUGCAAUGUUGGAAGCUAUGAAUGGACAACUCAAGAUACUCGUGAGUCGGUUUUUGGCCUCUGCUGGUAUCCCCUUUGGAAAAGGAGAGAGUAGUGAGAGUUGGCUCGAUAUUGUGACCUCCCUGUCGUGGGAAGCUGCACUACUUAUCAAACCUGAUUCUACCAUCGGAAAGGAAAUGGACCCUGGCUCUUAUAUCAAGGUCAAAUGUGUAGCAUCUGGUACUCGCUGGCAAAGGUGACACAUUUGUUCACUUAAAGGUUUUUUAAAAUAUAAUGUAUUCUAUCUGCGUGUUUGGUUAUACACGUUCACUUCAUAACCUUGACUGCAGUGAGGUGAUCAAGGGAUUAGUCUUCAAGAAGAACACUGCUCAUAAGCACAUGCCGACCAGUUGUCACAAUCCUAGGCUGCUACUACUGGAAGGAGUCCUGGGGCACUCUGAUGUUGGUUUAUCAUCGUUUAAUUCAAUGAAUCAGGUUGGUCCUUUCAUAUACAUAUGCACAUUGAAUUGUUUAUAGUAAACGCCGUUUAUUUUUGUUGGAUAGAAGAUUAAGACAUCUGUUCCGUGCCUUUAACAAUUAGGAAAAGGACCAUCUGGAGAGGACUAUAAGUAAGGUGAUUGAUAUAUGCAGUCCCAAUGUUAUCAUGGUUGAGAAAACUGUUUCACGAGACAUACAAGAACUUCUAUUAAGACAAGGGUGUACACUAAUUCUUGAUAUGAAGCUCAGCCGGUUGCAAAGAAUUGCACGCUGUACGGGUUCUCCUAUAAUAUCAUUUCCAGAAGUUCUGGAUAAACCGAAGCUGAAGCAGUGUGACUACUUCCAUAUUGAAAAAUUCAUUGAAGAACACAACGAUGCCAGUGAAGGUGGGAAAAGACUGUCUAAAACAUUAAUGUUCUUGGAAGGAUUUCCCAGGCCAUUGGGUUGCACGGUAUGUCUACCUAACUAGUAUUACAUGUAUGAUGCAUUUUAUACAUUUUCAGUUCCAUUCUUAUUUUUUCCCUAAGAUUGUUUAUUUUCCUCCAAAAGCAAAAUAAAUAAACUAUGCCACGGAGUAUUUUUCCUAUGUCUUUUCUUCCCUGAAAUCUCCCCAACCAAAGCAUCCCUUUGUAUGGAAGUGAAAUCCAUAACCAGAAGUUGUUCCAGCUUACUGUGGACAUGUCUAUUACUUCGACCAGUUAUUACUUCUUAAUAGCUGGCUUGUAGACUGUAAUUAAACAUCUUCUCUAUUCGAGUGGUGUGUGGCCAUAAAAUUUUACGGUUUGACUAAUAAGGCAGAGAACCAAGGUGAUUACAACUUGGCAGGAGCUAGAUACACUUAUGGUGCUUUAAAGUAACAAACCUGGUUUUGUUUGUGGUGAGAUCCAUAGUAGUGGUAUGUGCUUUUAUCAAUUAUUACGAUGAGUGAAUACCAAUUGAUAGUGAUAUAUUCCUGCAUAUUAGUUACAUUCCACUGAACAAAUAGUAAGUGACAGACCAAAUUGUGUUUCAUGGAUUGUUAAAUUAUCUGAGUGACAAUGGUUCCUUUCUCAUCCAGAUACUGCUCCGUGGAGCAAAUACUGAAGAAUUGAAGAAAGUCAAGCAAGUCAUGCACUACACAGUCUUUGCAGCAUACCACUUGAUCCUCGAAACGUCUUUCUUUGAAGAUCAGCGGGUAUUCUUAAAUGAUAAAAAUGUUUCCAAAGAAAAUUAUGUCACCGCUAUGGUAGGGCCUUCAGCAAUUGGUGAUGAUACGGCUGUUCUGGGUUGUGCCAUCCCUCCUUCACAUGAUGAUUCUCCAGCACUUAAAUUAUACCAUGCCACUUCUAAUAUCUAUGCGGAUGGGAAGAAAUCUCUCAGUUAUACAAAUGUAGAUGCUCCAGUUUCAAUAACAAACAGCUCUUUGGAUGAACUUGGAGAAGGUGCAAAUGUCCGGCAUAGCUCAACAUCACCCCUUCACACUGGAAGGCUACCACCACCAGUAUCAGGACCAUUAAGAAAAUUUGCUGACAAGUUACAUCGUCAUAAUAUUUAUUUACCUGUCACAUCAUUCCAAGAAACAACUGAUAAUAAAAUAGAAGGCAGGGUUGAAUCUAGGAAAGAGAUGGUUAGUAAUGGAUUUCAUGUUGGGUCAAAGGUGGAAGAGUCUGCAGCUUCCAGUGAAAUUUUGGAUGACACGAAAGAUCUCUUAAAACAAGAAAGGAUCCAAGAAGUAAUGCCAUCAGGUUCUUCUGGGCAUGGCAAACAUGAGGAAUCAUCCGCUAUGGCUGAAGAUGGGGAACAUCACAGCACCAGUAUCAUCAGCAAUGGGAACAUUUCUAACGAAGAUCAAGCCGAUGAUGCACUUGAUUCUGACAGUAUACUGAUUUUGAUGUCUAGCCAAUGCAUCACAAAGCAGAUUAUAUGUCUCCCGAGCCAACUGUGCCGUAUAAAAUACUACGGGAACUUUGAUUUGUCCUUGGGGCGAUAUUUGCAAGACAUUUUGCAGAAUCAGGUAACAACAGUUUACCACUUCUUCGUUUGUUCACACAUUGUUCUUAUUUACACUGAAUAUUAUAUUUUUGUGCUAGUAAUGUACAUUUUAUUUCGGCUCCAUUGAUACUCUUUUUUGCGAUGUUAUUUGGCUCACUAAUAUUUAUUCGUACUAGAAAGCAAGCUGCUCAUCUUGUCAAGAGCCUCCAGAGGCUCACAUAUAUUCUUACACUCAUCAAAAUGGGAAUUUGACUGUUCAAUCAAAGAAUUUGGUGUCCCAACAUCGCUUACCUGGCGAAUCCGAAGGAAAAAUAUGGAUGUGGACUAGAUGCUUGAGAUGUGAACAUGAACAUGGGACAUCUAAAUCGACUCCUAGAGUGUUAAUAUCAUCUGAAGCGCGCAAUCUCUCUUUUGGGAAAUUCCUGGAACUCAGUUUUUCAAGUCACUCCGCAGCGAGAAGGCUAUCCAUAUGUGGGCAUUUGGUGAACAGGGACUGCUUGCGUUUUUUUGGGUACGCUCGAUGUACUUUUCACAUCAAACAAAAUUAUUUUUUGGCUGCCUUUAGAUGUAACUAUUUCUUUAAUGAUAAUUUCUUUUUCUUACUGACUUCAGGUUGGGCUCCAAAGUUGCAAUGUUCCGCUACUCCUCAGUAGAAAUUUACACUACCUGCAAACCACCACCCACCCUCCACUUCGACAACCCUAGCAGACAGAAUUGGUUUGAAAAAGAGAGGAUACAUGUAUGUCUUAAUACUCUCUACCAUUACCAUCUCAUAGUUGUCUCCAGUACAUGCAUAGUAAUACUUUUUUUUUUGCACUUUCAAAGAUUCUUGCUAGAGGUAUGAAACUUUUUUCUGAGGUAGCAACCUUGCUACAACUCUUGAAGAAUCAGCAUCAUGAUGUGACAGCAACCAGUUGUGGCACAUUUGACCCUGUUAAGGACUUCUCUGAACUCGAAGAGUUGUUGAUGAAAGAAAAGGCCGAUUUUGAGGUAGGCAUCCUUGUCUUAAUUUCUUUUAGACUGGAACUUUGUAUGCCAAUGAAUUUGUUAUGUUUAAUUUAUAUUUAUGGGUUACUAUCUUUAUUUUUAUGCAGGAUUCAUUAGUAAAGACAAUCAACCAAAAUGGGAGAUCAUCCUCAUCUGUGCAUGAGCUUCUUAAUAUAAAUUGGUCUUACCAGGAUGUUCUACUUGAACUUUAUGUAUGGGACCGUCGGCUCGACGAACUUUCUAUGUGUAAAUCUGCUGGGCAAGGGAGUGUUGGUAAUAGCAAUAAUCCUAGCGGAACUGCAGACAAGAUUUCUGGGGCCAACUACGAGAUUGACAAGAAAAUUGGUGAACUGACGUGUGAUAGAACUAUGACAGCUGUGAGGUCAGAUGGUACCACUGAUUGCACUGAUUGCACAAGUAACAAUAUUCCCAUUGACCAUCAAUCUGGUGAGACCGCAGCACACUUGCUUGAUGAUAGUCAGGGAGCUGGCAACUCUGAACCUUCUUGCAGUGAAGGUAGUAAAGAUGAAGGAUCUCGAUCUCUCAUUGCUCCUGAUCAAGUAGAGGUAGAGAGCACGCCACAAAACCAAAAAGUACCUUCACUUGAAGUUUCAAGUCAUACAGAGGUCCAGGGUAACGGGGUAGUUGCACAUCCAGUUUCCAAGGAACAAGAGCCUUCAAGCACUCUCCAGAAGUUCAGAAGUACUGAUUGGGAUGACAGUGAUAGAUGGAUUUGGAGUUCAUUUUGUGAGUCUCAACUGGCUUACAGGAAGGACAUUCAAAUGGGAUGUUUGGAGAAAUUUUAUCUUGUUAACCAUUACUCCCCAUCUCACCUCUCCCCCUUGUUUGAAAAACAUGAGGAGGUGGACACUCCUCAGUUCACAGUUGGCCCCGGUGGUAAUAUUUUAUGUGUAUUGGAGCAUGAGGUAUCUAGUAUAAUAGCUCGUGCUCUCGCCAUAUCUGAGGAACGUAGGCAGGAUACCAUAGUCGAGAACGAGACGGGGGAGGGCAGGGUGGAGCAUGGUAAAACGAUGGAGAAAUCCUAUAGCUUUUUCUCUGAAGGUUCUUUUAGCUCGUCACCAUGGUCAUCUAUUGGAUCAUUAGAUUCUGAAGCAAGCUUUUCAUCUUCUAUUUCGUCAUAUCCAUCUGACGACCUCUCUGGUUAUGAUACCUUGCCUUUAUUGUCCUUGGUACACCCAGAAAUCACUGUGAACGGAAAAGUAACUCUCAGAGGCAAAUAUUCGGUUACUAGUAUAUAUUCGAACCAAUUCUACCUUCUUCGAAAGAAGUGCUGCCCAUCUGAGCUUGCAUAUAUUACUUCCUUAAGCCGCUGUAAGAAGUGGGACGCUCAAGGUGGAAAGAGUAAGGCUUUAUUUGCAAAGACAUUGGAUGACAGGUUCAUCAUAAAGCAAAUCAAGAAAACAGAGUUUGAGUCCUUCAUAACAUUUGCCCCUGAUUACUUCAAGCAUGCUUACCAUUCUCUAGACACUGGCAGCCAAACUUGCCUUGCCAAAAUAUUAGGAAUCUAUCAGGUAGGUUUUUUUGACAACUGAUUUCUAUUCGAUUUAUUUCCUGACUUCUAUUGGGUUUUCAUAUGACUUGUUGUUUCAGGUCAAGCAAAUAAGGCAUGGCAAAGAGAUCAAAAUGGAUCUGAUGGUGAUGGAAAAUCUCAUGUUUGGGCACAAUAUUUCACGAAUUUAUGACCUUAAAGGUGCUAUUUUUUCACGACACAUCGCCAAAUCAAAUGACCCUGACACUGUUUACUUGGAUCAAAACUAUGUUGAGGACAUGCGUGUAUCUCCGAUCUAUAUUGGUGGAAGAACGAAGCAUCUUUUGCAGCGUGCAAUCUGGAAUGACACAUCAUUCCUCACUGUAUGUAUAAUGCAUAUCCUAUAUCUGCAGAUAAUCAUGUUUUCAAAUAAAUAUAUGUCCUAACAAAAUUAUUGUACUUGCAGUCAGUUAACGUUAUGGACUAUUCUCUGCUUGUGGGAGUGGACAAAGAAAAGAAUGAACUUGUGUUUGGCAUCAUUGAUUAUUUGAGGCAAUAUACUUGGGACAAACAGCUGGAGACAUGGGUCAAGAGUUCUUUGGUUCGAAAAAAUGUUUCACCGACUGUAAUUUCACCCAAGGAUUACAAGAAAAGGUUUAGAAAGUUCAUGGCCAAGUACUUCCUCACAGUUCCGGAUACUUGGAGUCCCGAGAAUUCUUCUGGGCCAUACAAAUCCUUUGGCCAUAGCAAUAGCAAGUUGGUAGAAGCCGAUAAUGAUGACAACCUGCUUCAGCAUCCAAUUGAAGCUGAGGCAUGUGUCUAGUUCUGUUCAGGCUGGCAUGUGUCUAGGCUAUUCAGGACUCCUCUGACAGUGCUGUUGAAGCCUAUCCAGUCGUCGUCGUUGUUGUUUCUUUGGCUUGUUUUCGCUUUGUAAAAUUGUGUACAUAUGAGGGCCUCACAAUUGACCUUUCCAGAAGUUUGCACCUUUUAGGCAGAUUACUGGGCAAGUGAGGCCCACAGUACAUGUACCUAUACAAAUGUAAAUUGUUGAUUUCACAAUUAUUAUAGUGAAAUUUACAAAAUUGGUAUGAUUUUUUUGGGAUCUACUAGGCUGAAGCCUUUUCUACUUGCUUAAUUAUUUCUUAUAAUGCCUGACACGGCUAACCGUCCAUGUUGGACUUCUGAUCUCUGUUCAAAUUUGAUCAGUUUGAUCCGUAUUUGACUUUCAUUACUCCGCUAUAGUUACAUUCAUGGAAAUGGCCAAUUUAAUGCCUCUUGAUCUUACUGCACACCUUAUGAAGAACAUUUUGUUGUCAGAUGGACAUUGUCUAUUUUGUUGUGUGCACCCAGUCACUACAAUUUUGCAGAUCUGCUGGUAUGAUAUGUACUGCUUACUUUCUUUCAUCAAUCAGUUCCACGUAUUAUUUAAAAUGAGUGAAAUCAAGUUAAACUUGUUUGUUCCAAGUUUGUUCCUUGAAUUUUGUUGUAAUAUGUGUUUAUGCCCCAAUCUCUCUUAUGAUAUCAAGAAACAGAAUAUAAUUUGAUUCCUGUUUGUUUUCAGGAAAUAACUCACUGGGGAGGACACCACUCUUUAUAAGUCCUGCAUCACAUAGUAGCUGCCUGGUGACAUGCCUCAUCUAUGCAGUUGGUCUAUGACUCUAUGUUCUAUACUUUAUUGCUAUAUAACACUUGAUAUUUUAUAUUCUCAGCUUUGACGAGGCAAAUUGUUAGUAGAUCCUAAAAUUAACUAUUUAUUUAAUUUACACAGUACACACUUUGCUGAUAAGGGAUGCUCCAAAGUAAUGCUCCAGUUCCUUUUCUAGAACCACUGGUUAUUUAAAUUGGUGCAUUUUCAGGAGAAUUAUCUAGCAUCCUGUAAUGCAAUUUCUGAUUGAUCAGAUAAUUGAUGGAAAGAACUUUCUGUGUAUUCACUUAGCAGUCUGGCUGAUACUUAACAUCUACUAGUGUGUGCAAUCCAUAGUCUGGACCAUGAACAUCGGCAGGAAGGGAUUCCUGCAAAUGAACAUGUGAGACCUCGGUGAGUUAGUUCAUUUUAAGCUUUCUUAUUUUCUACCCUUGCAAAACUUUGUUGACUAAUCCACAUAACCCUUUGUUGAACUUUAUAGUGCGUAGCACAUUUUUCUGCAGCUAUAAUCUUAUCAUACUAUCUUAUAAAAAUUCCUGAUGAAUGUUAAACAUGUGUUUUUAUCAUUUGGCUGCAUUGGUGGAAUGGUAGAUAGUAACAGUAUACAUUUCCAAGAAAUGUGGUAUUUGAAUAUAGUCCCAUUGAUCUUCCCAAAGAGUUGCAGUGUGUGCGUGCUUCUUUCCGAGAGUCCUAUAUUUGCAUUUAUUUUUCACUGAUUGUUUCAGUGAGUAUGAAACUAUGAAUUCAUAUGCAGUGUCGCUUGUGAAGUUGGCUUUGCAGCAUUUAUCUCAAGACAUUCCUUUUUCCCUGUCAUUUUAUUACUAACGCCGUCCAAACAUAACGAGCACAAUGCAAAACCACCUUCGCCCACUUUUCCAAUUGGAGUUGCUAUUUGUGUCUUAAUACAAUUCUUUUUUUGCUUCCAAAAUGGCACAUAUACUGUUGUUAUAUAUGUGUGUGUUCAUGCUAAACUUUCUAGCUCAUGCCUUGUGAUCAGGAGAUUAUGUGUUGUCACAAUGUGCUUGAGAGACAUUCUUGGGCAUGUCGUGCCACUUGCAUCUUUGUUUUCAUGACUGAUGAAUACACUGGGUUACGUGACAGAUGAACUCAUGUUAGUUUUUCGAGCAGAGUCUACCUCUUGCUCAUUUGCGAGCAGUACUGAUUUGAAUAAAUGAUAGUACAGUACCUCAGAAGUCAGAGCACUGCUUGGAACAGGCGGUAAUUUGCUUCAACUGUAAUCUACACAUAUAGUCACAUCCGCUGAAUCUUACAUAGUUAACUUUUAAACAUGAAUAUAAGAAAUUGUUGACACUUCCUUCCCUAUAGUAGCAAGAGGCAGUAGUCUGCUAUUGUACCAAUCAUCAGUCAAGGAGGUAAUCCACAAGAAUGGGGUUGGCAUGCAUCUCUUUUCUCCUUUUCACUUUUGCAGGAGGGCAUCAAAUACAUUGGCAGUAAGAGUAUGACCAGAGGGAGGACUUUUAGAUCAUUGCAGAGUGGCUCAUCAUGAUUGCGUGGAUUCUAUGCAAGUCUUGUCAUUGAGAGGGAGGUUACAAAAGGAUUGUCUGGAGAAGGUGAUAAUCUGUGUAAUGAUGCUGAUCCUAACAUCACUGAUUCAUAUAGAUUGGCACACCAUAUUUUUUUUGAAAGAGAGAGAUUGGCUCACUAUAUUUUGAAUUCUGGAUUUAGGAUUGUAAUAAGGAAUGAGUUUUCUCUCGUACAUCUUUGAGAUUUCAUUAAUCAUUUUUUUUUGCAGUGCUACUCUCAGUCUGUUUGAAGUUCCCAUUAACUGCCGAUUUUGAACAGUAAGCAUUCAUCCUAGGUGCUAAUUUUAUUACACUGCACUGCAAACUCUUUCAAUAGCUCUUUCAAUAGCUGAAUGCUUUGUAGGAAUAAUGUCGCAUUAGAUUUUUCUCAUUUCAUUUUUGAAUUUUUUUUGUUUAGUAGCUAAUGAUGAAUUGAUCAAAUCUGAAGAGAGAACUGUGGCAUGGCACUGAUGUUUUCUUGGUUGCAGAUCCUGCUUUAGCAAAAAGCAGUUGGUGUCGCCAUUUCAGUAUAAGGGAUUCGAUUUGGUCGAUUUAUGCUCAGCUUUUUCCUGGUACUGGCAGAAGCUGCCUGAACCCCAAAGUAUGGAGCAUGGAUUAUGCUGCUGCUUACCAUCAUUUCUCUACUGUAUAACCCUGUAAAGCAGCUCAAAUCAAUCAAUUUUGCAUUGCAGCAGUUGAGGGCAUUCUCCUUUUUCCUGGAACCGAUGCCUUCGAGUUCAAGGUGAUCAUCAUGUCCCAAUUCCAGAAGGCGAUCUCAUGAUUCUACAACCAAAACGAUGACUGCUGUCGGAGAUCAUAUGGAGAAUCAUGUCAGGUAACUCGUUUUUUUUUUCAAAGCCACACUAAGGUGUGUAUUGUCCCUAAUUCCUUGCCUUGUCAUCUUCUCUAUUUGUAGUAAAAUAAUCAAUCUUUACUCUGCCAGUCGCCAUGGCAACUAGUGGAGUGAUCAAUGAUAAGGAAGGUGAUUAGCCUACCACCAAAGAACAAAAAGAAGACGCAAAAGAUGACAAGCACAAGAGUUCAUUUUAACACCCCUAGUUGCACCCUUUUUGUCUCUGUCCAACAAGCUGCCCACAUCUCCACAGCACUUUUCCAGUUACAGAAAAGGGCAAAGAGUCGCUUCCCUUUUCCAAUGCAGAUUCUUCCUUUCACUAUCAACCAUUAUAUCAUUCAUCCAUGGAAGAAACUCCGCCUAGAUCAAUGCAUUAAAAAUUACUACACAUAUUCUGAUUCUGAUGCUCAUAAUAGGUAGGCCUAAGCACAAACUGCCUGCCAUCACCAUUGCUGCUUAAAGAAGACACGAUGCAAAGAUGAUAGACACACACACUAGCUGGCUAGCUGCUAUGGUAGCUAGAGAGAGUAGCUAGAUUACCCAAUCACAAAAGCAAAAAACACCUACAUUUUUCUUAAAAUUGUUAGCCUAGUUGUACUAUCUACCAUGCCCUGUUUGUUUCUGCUAAUAGCUGCUGCAAACUCCGAUCAGCUUCAGCGAUGGCUGCACAGGUCAGACAGCAUCUUCCUGCCUUCCACAAUCUCAUCAAAGAAGUCAUCCAGUUCGCCGACGACACUCUCCGCACCUGACUGCAGCACCCCAACCCAGCCUUUGAUGAUCUCCACCCUCUCGGCGAUCUCACCGGGGUCGGCAUACCCUGUGGCGAUGACCCUGUCGAACUCUGCCUUGAGGCUCUCGAUGCCGGCCCUGGCCUGCCGGAACUCGUACAUCAUGACGCCAGAGCCAGAGUGCUGCCCGGCUACUGCCUCCAUCUCCUCGGCGACGCGCUGGCGCAGGCGCCCCAUGGAGGAGACGUAGCCAGCACCCGUGGCACGGAACAUGGGCGCACAGCCAAGGUCCGGGAGGCAGGAGACCGUCCCAGAGAUGAGGAUCAUGAGGAGGAAGGAGCUGGCGUUGCGCAGCGCGUAGAGCACGCCCCGGAAACCGUUGAAGGCGUUGAGCUUGAACUCCACGGGCGACCGGUCGUCGAGCAGCAGCGACGCUGGGUCGAUCCUAGCCUCCGCAAGCGCCCGGUUCUCCUGCUCCAGCCCAACAGCCUGCCGCCUUGGCGCGUUGAUCGCACGCAUCACCUGCCAGCCAGUAGGUGUCAAUGAUGUGAUCAGAAUCAGAUAUAUUCAGAUCAAUAGAGGCAGGGGGGGAUCGUCGAUCGGACUGUACCUGACGGGCUGUGUGUGGGUUGGGGCUGCAGAGCCAGUCGUCGAAGGCGGCAUCGAUGCGGGUGGCGGAAGCGCAGUAGGUGUCCAGCGCGGUGGCGCCGGCCUUGACGACCUGGCAGGCCUCCCAUAGCCGGGAGGUCUCGUCCAUGUACUCGUCCAGCCAGCUCUCACCGGGCGGCAGGUGGAGCCGCUGCACCAGGUGGACGAGCUGCGAAUGCAGGGACCGGAGCAGCGCCGCUGCCUGUUGGAGGAACGGCGCCGACACGAACGCGCCCUCCGGCGACGAUGACGAGGCGGCCAGCGUGCCGUGGAGUUCGUCCAGGCCGUGCGCGAUGGAGGAGUAGAAUCCGUUCAUGGCGACUCUAUUUGUUGUAUAACUGGGAGCAGCAGAGCAGAGCAAAGAUCGAGAUGAGAAGAGAGUGUGGUGCAUGGGAGUGGAGGCUCUGCGCUGAGCUGGAACAGAGACUCUCGGUCAGCUUAUAUAGAGGAAGACUAGAAGACUGGACUUAGAGUGAGGGCAGUGAGUUGUACUAUGGGGAAGCAAUGAUGGUUUGUCCGGCGGUCAGGGGGAAGGAUGAUUGGGGACUGGGCUGGGCAGCCAUUGCCAGGACUCCUGUAUGUGCUCCUCCUCUUCAUGACCAUUCUAAUGGCAUUGCCAAUGCUUGAGAGCUAGUCCUACUAGCAUGCAAUGGAAUGCAUGGGAAAAUGUACUUACUCAGCCUAGCUAGCUGCCACAGCCAUUUUAAUUUCCCCAUGAAUAUCCCACCAGUUAAUUUCCCCAUGAAUAUCCCCCCACUCCAGUACUCCUACUCCAAUUCUUGUCUUGAGUUGCAUACUGCUGGUCCAGAUUCAAGGGUAGGGACCAUUUGCCAUUGACAGUGUACUACUGGCGAUUGAUUAUGAAGUUGUUGGUGCUAAUCAAGGACUCACUAGUGCUACUACUACUUGAGCAGACAGCUGUCAUCUGCUGCUGCUGCUGCUUUCCAUAUUCUGAAUCCGGGUGGGAGGGAGGAAAAAGGAGGGGGGCCAAUGUGCCGGGCCUCUGCUGGGAGCACCAUCAAUAAGCAGCAAGGAAGCAAAGAGAAGCAAGCGCUGGCUGCACUGCACUCCCCUGUCUGGCCUUCCCAAUGCACUCAGCCACCUGUUAGUCCAGAAAGGAAACAUUUUUCCUGGAUACAUGAACUCUAUGGAGUAUAUUGACCAUUGCAGCCACUGUGGGUACUUCUUUGCAACAACAUAUAUAUAUAUAUAUAUAUAUAUAUAUAUAUAUAUAUAUAUAUAUAUAUAUAUAUAUAAUAUAUAUAGUAUGGCAGCUAGCUGCAAGCAAAUGUGUUUGUUUUCUUGUUCUUUUUUCUUUUGUGCAGGCCUGAAGAGGAGCUAGCUUCUUCUUCUUCGAGAUGCAUGGGAUGCGUUGCUGCAUGAGCCAAUAGGAGCAGAGGAGUAUGAGGACAAAGUUUCAAAGGUGGCAGGGAGUCCUAGAGAUGUGUCGACAAGGUGAGCUGUACUCUACUGCUUACUUGCCCGUGGAUUAGUGGGGCACUUAAUUUAAUUUGCUUGAAUUGAUGUUAGGAGGAAUGAUGGGUUUCCUUGUACCCGUACAAAUCUCUCAGUCCGCGGCCAACACAACCCCCAUGCUUCCAUGCAAUGCAAUGCCAAUGCAAUGGCUUGGCCGCCUUUUGAGGUCCUUCUCCCUCUCGCCCGGGCCUCCAGUCCGGCAAUCAUGCCCAAUAUAUGCUCUCGUGCCCCCUUCUUCUUCCUCUCCAUUAUGACUACUCCGUUUCUCUAGGGCACACGUCGGGCCCCGCAUGUCGGUCAAGCCCUUGAGAAACUCAUGACAGUCUUAAUUCCAACACACAACUUCUACAAAAAAAAAAUGUUUCUAUUGUGAUGAUACUGUGUAAAUUAAGAAGACUACAAAUUAGUCUGGAUUGACAACAUUUCUAACAUAGUCUAUGUUGCUUGUAAAACAUGCAUGCUUGUAGUAUACUAGUACUGCAUAUAUGCGGUGGCUUCAUUAUAGUAUUAGGAUUGUCUUUUUGGUCCAAUCCAAUUCAAACACCACAGCUUCAUCGGUGCAUGCAAUCCAUCUCGUGGCAAGUGCUAAACCCUUUUAAGAAAUGGAGCUCGUGGGGUUUUGGGAGGAGGCGAGGGGGAUGUGGAUUUGGUUGGGGAAAUCAAAGGGGAUGUGUGUUGUUUCCUUUGCCCUAACCAAGAACAAAGAUUAAUUAAGCUAAAUCUUACUCCAUGAUCCAUGCAUCAGCUAGGAGCUACCUUUGAAAUACUACUACUACUUGGCCAGCCGUGCCGUACAUGCUGCGUGGUUGACCGGUGGGGGUCCAAGCACCACUCAUCGGCCGGCCAUGAAUAUUCUUCUUGUCCUCUUCCUGCUCUCUCUCUCCAGUCCUAUAAUCCAUGCAUUCAUCUCACUAUGUAUAUAUAGGCUCAUUGCAAAUUAAACAGAUCAUAAAAAGCAAAGAUCAUCUGUUUUUUUUAUUUAGAUCAAGACGGUUCGACUCCCAUAAUUGAAUUAGAUGAAAAGACCAUCUGCUAAACGUUUGCCAAACAGAAGAACAUACAGUUCAUAUGCAAAACACUUUUAUUGUCGGAAAAAGCACAUUUUUUUGGUGUGUGUUCUAUCUAAUCAACUCUCUGUGUCUUAUGUGUUAUAUACUAUCUAAGUAAACUGUUUCCUGCAAAUUUUUCCGUGGCGCGGUCUCUAUUCCGCAUCCGCAAUAUAUCCUCUCAAUUUCUUCACAUAUAAAUUUCCAUGAAUUAAUUUGGUUUUCAUAGCAACGAGAUCCAAAAGGGCAUUAAUUAUCUGCCUGCCUGCCACAGUAAUUUUACUUCUUGGAUAUACACACAUAUAUAGUACACUUACUAUUGGCGACCUUGUCCUGGACGCAUAACUCCAUUGUUUGCUCGAACUUGUAAAACAGGUGGUCACGGAUAUAUCUACGUGGCACACGUAUGCAUGUCUAGUCCAAAUUAGCAUAUGGGUUGGCGGCAACAGCAUGCAUACAUGAAAGCAGCAACGGCUAGCUUUUAAUUUAGCAUGUCUGGUCAGUCACACACACACACACACACACACACACACACUAAUUUUCUCUCUUCUUUUUUCAAAAUUUGUACAGACAUUAUUAUGAAAAUUAGCAGUACUACACUGCCAGUACAGAGUACUACUGCUACUGCUAGGUCUCAUGAUCAAAGUUGCUAGCUUAGCUAGGUGUGCUGUAGAGCUGUAGGAGUGUAGUAGUAGCUUGCAAUGGUGUGGCUGCUGGCUUGACCAGAACUUUGAAAAAUGCAUGCAAUGCAUCUAUGCUUGGACAGCAGCAGUCUACUACUACAAGUACUUAUCACUCUACAUACAGUACACAGAACAGAGAUCAAAGUUGCUGCUGCUGUUGUUCUUCUGAAGCAGCAGCCAUGCAUGCAUAAGGCUGACAGACGGUGGUGUUCUGUAUUAUAGCGUAGCUGGUUCUCGUUUGAUUACUGCUGUCAAGAGAACCCCGUGCGAUGCUACGGAACAACGGAAAGUGUAUCAAGCACGAGCCGGUGGAGGCGAAGUCUGGACAUUGAUCAACCGGCGCUCCCCUUUGAGUUGAGAUCUGCAGGCGCCUCCUCAGCCUCGUCAACGACGGUGUGGUUCUCGCUUCCCAGCAGGGGUGGAGAUCUCCAGCGGGCUUCUGCUUCCCUGUCUCCGUCACGCCUUGUAUCCUCGAUGGGGGUCUCUGGGUCGGUGGUCAGGGGCCGGACGAAAUCCCUGCCCGGCUGCGUCCGGUGCCAACGACGGCGACGCCUACGGGCGCCUUUACCUCCUUGGAGGCGUGGUCGUGGCCCCUGACCAUUCCUUCUCCAUCCUCGGGCUCCAGGGGAAACCCUUGGUUCGGUUUGCCAUGGCUCCGAAUCAGGCAGCAGCAGCGACACCUUGGCAUCGUAUCCUCCUUGGAGGCACUGCUUUGGUAGCCCGUGGGAGUUCGAGUGUCGUGGCAUGAGAUGGCAGCCUCUCUAUUCUUGGCGGCGAGGCUUGGUGGUAGCGCGAAGCCGGUGUUGAUCCUCUGCUCUGGGCGUUGGACUUCAAGGCGCGAUGUUCGUCACUAUCGGUUCCCUAGAUGAUGCAUCCUUCCCAAUUCAGUCUGGUCCAUUCCUCUACUUGCCGACCGGGGCUUGAUCUGCUUCCAGAUUGGCCUCCCUUCUUAGGCGUAUUGUUGGGGGUUGGCCAGGGUGGUCUUGGUGUCAUGGUCGCAGAUUUGGGUGUCCUGCAGCUAUCGUGAAGCGGCCUUCAAGGUCUUGUGCUCUGCCUUCUUUGCCCUAGGGCUGGAGGUGGGCAAGGCGAGUCUCAUGUCAUUGUGGUUUGAAGCUUGGUGGUGUCUCUUUAACCUGCUCUGACCCCAAGUUGGCUCAAGAUCUGUUGGCUGUAGGUCUAGGCUAGCUAGGGCUCCGUCUUAGGUCGUCCGGAGAGGACGGUCAUGUUUUUUCUUGCUUGGCCUCGCCGUUGGCGGGUGCGGUGCAUAUGUUGUAAAUCUUGUAACUUUUGGUUACUCACGCUUCUUUGCGCUUUCUUCUUAAUGAAAAUGACAUGCUUCCAGGCGUGUUCGAGAAAAAAAAAUUAGAGUCUGUUUUGAGGAACAAAUUGGCAGUUAAAUGCUUGAAGUUCAGUUCAGUUUGCUGCUGGAAUAAAGAAGAAACAACAAUUUUGAAUUGCGAUGAGAUCUAUCGAAGAACACAGCUAGCUCAUAUAUAAUGCUCUCCAUGGAAUUUGGGGUGAAAAAGGGAAGGAAAGAAGAGGAAAGCUGAAAAGAGGCAACUAAAGGAGAUGCUAGUCAAGUGUUCUCCAAAUUUUGUGUUGAAUGGCGGCUAUAUUCAUGAGUAGCAGCAAGUAGCCUAACUAGUCAAGUGUCCUUGCUGUGAUGAAUUGAAGCAGGCAGGGCAGAGCAGAGCUGUGUGUCCUCCUAGAAGCUAUAGCUAGACCUGAAGAAAGUGCAUAUCCUCCUCUAUCACUUUUCUCACCGCCAAGUUGUAAAGGGGAGAAAGACAUGCAUGGAAACUGCAAAGUUGCCUCGCUUUUACAAACCAUUGCCUUUUUGCAGGAUCUGAUCUCUAUUUCCUUUCCUGUUACCUCUCCAUGCAGCUGCUAUGCUGCUAUAGUAGCGUAUGAUCUUGGCCAUCCAUGCAUUUCUCCGUCUUGUAGCUCGGCUCGGCUGCCUAAUUGCUGGCUAUGUUGGUUGCUUUCUGGAGACAGAGAGGGAGAAUAUGCUCCAUGUUGUCCAAAAGGGAAACGCAAAAUCAAUUGCAUCCACGGUGGUUCGUUUCUUUCCUUCUCCACACUGUCUUUCUGUCUUCUUUUCUUUCUCUCUUACGUUUGUAUUUCUGAAUGAAUUGGUUGUGGUUUUACAUGUAUGUUGAUUUUUGUUUUAAAGCGUUUGCACCAACAUAUAAUACAGGCAGUUUUUUUUACAGUGCAAGAAAAGGAGAAGGACAGAAAUGAAGGGAAGCUGUAUAACUUUAACACAGCUGCUAUACAACUAUACAAGAGAAGAAGCAGAGACUCUGACAUUGAACUUGAUCAUGGGCCAUUUGGAAUAUGCUCUGACAUGGAGGUGGUAAACAAGCUCAAUCGGUUUAUCAAAAACCAGCAAGGUACAAGCAAGGGUCCAGACACUGAAGAACUGAACAAAAAGCAAGAUAAACCAGGCGAGAGAACCGCCCAGCAAAGUUGCAGACGCUAAACUAUCAGAACAACUACAAGAGUCACAAAACAUCACGAUAAGAAACAGAAAGGCUCAUUUGUGUACUAAGAUGAUAUAACUUUGCAAUAAAAUUGGCUGUGCGCAUCGUUUCAUCGUUUCGAUGCAGAGGCCGGGAAGAACCCCUUUUCGAAAAAAAACGGUUCGUCCUUUUCCAAUGAGCGUUCUCUAGCAUGAAUUCGAAUGUAAUUCGUGCACGUAAAUGAGUGGAAAAAAGAAUGCUGUUGCAAGGGGUUGGAUCAUACUGUCUAGGAGAUCUUAUCUAAUGACAUACAAACAGGAGGCGCUCGUGGCCUAAUGGAUAAGGCAUUUGACUUCUAAUCAAAGGAUUGUGGGUUCGAGUCCCACCGAGCGUGUUCUUUUUUCUUAAAUUUUUUUCAUUCAUUAUGCUUCCCAUUGAAACUUAUUUUCUUCAGCGCAUGCUAUUCAUAAGUCGUCUAAAAAGGAAUUUUUUUUUGUGCCAAAUUUUAGCAGUAAUCUUGUUGUAGCAUCGGCAACCCCAAUCAUGAAAAUAUAAAUUCAUAGAAGUGCCAGCAUAAGAUAAGAUGCUAUUAAUUUGUCCAGCAACUGAACACAGACGCUAGAAAAAUUCAGAUCAGGAUUCCAAGAACAAUAAACUGGGUGCAGCGACCAGCAUUAAAGCUUAAAGCAAUAGGGAUUGUAAUCCAGGGGUCAUCAAACAUAGUAGCAUUGUCACUGACACCAAAAAGAAUGUAUAUAUGCUGGAGCCUUUCUCUAUGCCAAAAUGCUGUUUAUUAAUUGUCUCUAUGAUUGUCAACAGCUAGGGACUAUGCAUUGUAUUGCUUCCUAGAUCUUCUCUUGCUUUUCGCCUACGAGGGGGAGCAUCUCCAUCCGGCUUCUCGGGGUCCGCGGGCUCAGGGUGGCGCCUUGCUGGGAGAUGAGAUGCCUCACGUAGCCGUAGAAGGUGCAGCCGACGAGCGUGAUCCCGCACCCGACCGCGUUCAUGGCGGAGAUCGGGUUCCGGAAGAUCAUCCAGGAGAUAAGCACCGCAGCAGCUACCUACACAGACCCAUCAUGGUACCAUCAGUUUCCCAAUGCUGAACUUUGUUUGUUGGACUGAAGAAGCAGAGUGAAGAGGAAUGGGGAUAUCAGUGCUCUCACCUUGAGGUUGCCGGCCACGUUGAAGGUCACGGCGGUCGUCGAAUGGAUGACGUAGAAGAUGGAGAAGUUGAGGCAGAAGGCGAGAAUUCCUGAGGUGAUUAUGAUGAUCAGUGCAGGGACAGUUGACUCGUAUGUGUAUAGCCAGUUGAUCACGCCGCCCCCUUCGAGUACAAUCGCUGGUACUGACAGUAUCAUGGUGGCAAAGGGUGCCAUGUAGUACACCGUGUUAAUGCUGCAGAGAGAAAAAAGGAACAGAAAACACAGGUAACCAAGAGGAAAAAUAUGCAAUAUCGUAAUUGAUCGUGUAGGUACUAUGAAAAUAUGAAGAAAUUCUACAUAGCAUGAUGACAACAGAAGCGCUAUUACAUUAUCCAUGAAUAACUCUGUUAAGAACUAUUGUGAAUUAUCAGAUGACAAGAACUACUUCCCCUUUUAUUUUUACUUUUUCUUGUUGUGAAGCUCAAACAGAUGCUAUAAGAUCAUUUCCUCUGUAAACUGACUGGAUCACUGUUUACCUGUCAAAUUUGUAUCCAUGGAGUAGGGAUUCUGCCAAGAUGGUCUUUGUAGACGUGGCGAGGCAGCCAACCAUGGCGGCACAAAAACCAAACAUGUUGAAGCUAAGCUCAGUUACUGAAGUCAAGAGGAUUCCCCCCACAAUAGGAACCAAUGAAGCCCAUAUGCGCCACUCAAAGUAUUUCCUCCAGACCAACCACUGCAGGAUAACUGUUCUACAACGAAUCAGAAAAUGACGCAACAGCAAGUGCGAAAAAGGCGUCGUCCUCGAAGAUGAACAAAUCAGAGAACCUGUCGUUGCAGGAGUGAAGGAUUUGAUAGUCUGCAUGAAGGAGACUGGGAUGUACCGCAGGCUGACAUUUCCCAGCACGAUGUUUAUGCAGAACACAAAUGACAUGGGGAAUAUCCUUUUCCAGCGAUCCUCGGGGGCAACCUCGAUCAGCGGUUUUAUCUUGAGCAUUUUGAUUGCGAUGUAAGCUCCGAUGGAAGAGCAUAUGAAGUGGACGCACGACACGGUCAGAGGAAAUUUGAACUCCAGUUUCUGCAUCCCAAGAAAAAAAAAAUCAAGUUCAUGCUUUUCUGCUGAGGAGGCUGCAAUAGUGCCACUGCCAUGAACUAAUUGUCAGUUUAAACUUGAAAGCAAAAAAAUGUUCAUUCCAAGAGAAAGAUGGUGGCAGAAGCCCAUGAGAAACAUCAGUCAUAUCGACUCUUCUACAUGUCAUUUGCGAUUAAGUAUGUUCUCAAAUAUUAUGGUACUAGUCCACAAAAACAUAUUAGCACAUAAUCAAUGUUAACUCCGAAGUCUGAACCUUGGGACAUUUUUCAGCUCACUAACGAAAUGGCUCCCAUCUCCAAUCCAUUUUGCGGAUUGUAAUCUACAUUAAAACCAAUAAUUACCAUCCCAAAUAUUUCCAAUCCUUCAUGUUUCUGAUUCUUCUUCCCACAAAUAUCUUCGUCUUAACUCCAAACCUAAUCCUUUUGUGGAGAAACCUAAUUCCAACAAUUUACAGCCAUGAAAAAGGACAAUCCCUUCAUAUUCCUAACAACAUGAUAAAUCAAAAGCCAGCUAAUCUGCUCCCCUGAUUGCGCAGAUCAACCCAUAAACAUGAACAAAUCCUCCGGAAGACGAGGAAAUCGAGAAUAUAUAUUGAAAGAAAAGUUGUAAGCAGAAUGGGACGGAGGGAGAAGAGCGGCCGCGAGACGGACCUGGAAGAUCCAUUUGUUCAUGAUGAUGACGGUGACGUUGAAGCACCACCAUUGGAGGAUGGCCAGCACCGCCCUCACCGUCGCCACGUUCCCCAUCUUCCCUUCCUCCAUAUGCAGCGCACAAAAACAACAAAGAUCCCCUGGAUUCAAUUCCAAUCCCACUAAAAAAGAAACGCCUUUAAUUUCUUCCAGCCGGAGUCCAGGAGAGAAGAAAAAGGCAGAAAGAGACAGAUGCUGGAACGGCUGGCGUAUUUAUGUGUAAUUAAUCAGUGGAAAACUCCUCUUGAUGAUCCAUUUGUGGAAGGCAGCAGGCUGGCUUCUAGAAGACCAUGGUGGUUCUUCUAGAAGGUUCCAGAAGCCGUCAAGGCGUCAGGAGAAGAGGAGGAGGAGGAGCUAGAGGGGUUUCGCUUUCGGUCGUAGGAUUUGCAGGUUGUGGUUUUUAGGUUGAGAGUUCGAUUGGUGUGAUUCUUGCCUCUCAUAAUACGUGUUGCCACUCUUCUUCUUCUUCUUCUUCUUCUUCCUCCUUCUUCUUCUUCUUCUUCUUCUCUUCUUGUAUACGUCAGCCUAGCCAGCUCAGGCUUGGACACGUGUCACGUGGGACCGUCUCAGCCGAGCUUGGACACGUGUCAUUUAAAAACUGUUUAAUGGGUCGACAUAUGGGCCUCUCUAUGAGACUCCCCUGGGACCUCCAACCAAUCCCUGCAUCUGCACAGAACACACCAUUCUUCUGAUGAAAUCAACAGCAUUUCAAGCUCAGCUCACCCGUAGAAAAGCCAGCUUGCAGCAGCCUUCUUCCCCUUCACCACCAACAAUUAUUUUACAUUCCCAAUCACAAAUCGAUAACAGAAAGCACAAACAAGUAGCUAGUCAAACAUUGUUCUAAAAUAUAUGUUCUUCAUCAUCAUAGAUCAGAGGGAUAAAAACAACAGGUGAUGAAGCACAAAACGUUGUAAACAAAACAGCAUCAUUCGUUGCUUACAGCAAACACCGAAUUAACCUCCCUUCUCCACACAGAAAGGGAAACAUCAAAUGGAGUAAUAACGUUCCAUGCAGAAACAGCCAACAUAAACAGUCUUCAACAGGUAAGACUUGUCCCUGUAAAUGUCAACUGCACAACUGACUGGUUGAUUCAACCAGUCAUGUCAGGGUACUGUAUAUGGCCCCUUCAAAGAGGGGGCCGCCAAAAGGAUCAUCCUUUUUCUUCUUUGAAUGUAAGCUUGGCCAAGCAAAAUGUUGCGGAAGAUAUUCUGCUUAUUACGUCUCUUUGCCACCAACUAGCUAAGAAUCCGACUGACUGGCAUGCUUCAUGUUCUUAUGUCUCUUCAGGACAGACAACUCGUACUUUUGCAUCCCUUCCCUCGCCCUCCGUAGACUGCACGACGGGCAAUACCACUGGCCUUUCGGGAUGCAGGUGCGCUUCGGCGUCAUGCAGUAUAUGUGAUAAGCUUCGUCACAGCCGUCGCACAAGGCGAUAUCUUUGUCAUCCUUAUUCUUGAAGCAGCAUCUGCAGAGACAGGACGGGCAGUACCAGCAUCCGAGGUUUUUCUGCUUCUCAGACGCGAUCUGGCUUUCUCUGAGGCAUCGGAUGUGAUAGAAUUUGUAAGAGCAGUAAGGAUGACCACAUACCAAGAAUCGCCUGUCGUCGUCUUCGCAUGUGCCGCAGUGUUUGCACAGCUUUGCAAGGGCAGUUGUGCACAGGUCUGGCUCGUUGUCUUCCACCACGCAUGGCACGGAGCUCCCCUCUCUUUCAUCAGCUAACUCCAUUCCACUACCAAUUUCAGGCGGUUCUAUUUUCUCAAGGACUUCAAGCCUGGCACACAGAGGACAACCAACAUGCAAACUGUUCUUGUGAACAUUUUUCAUGAUGUCUGCAGCUGACCCCUUCCCCUUAUUGCUGCAGGCCGGGCAGUGCCAGGUUGCUGGGAUCUGUUUCAUAGCAGGAUGGAGUCGCUUGACACAGUCAAAGUGGUACGUGCUGUCACAUCCAUCACAGAUAAGUCUUUUUUCUUCUUCUGCACCGUCUCCACAUUGCUUGCAAGUGCAAAUUCGACGAAGUCCACCUGUCUCGGUUCGCUUUGGAAUUGUAGAAUGACCAGAAUCACAUGGGGAGAACUGCACGGUGGUAGUCGAACCCUUUGGGAUUUUGUGGACGACACCAACCAAGCUUGUUUCCUGGUGAAGAAUGCAAUUAGUAAAAGGUGUUAAUAGAGUGCAACAACAACAAAAAAUGACCAGCAGACUGUCUCCAAACACACCAAUUACCUCUAUCCGGCGCUCAGCAGCAUCCUCUGCUUCAGAAACUCCAGAAGUCUAUAAAGAAUAUAUCGUAAGCAAUGUGCAGUACCAGCAUAAAAGCCAACAAGUUAAAGACUCCACAAUAGCUUGAAGCAUGGUCGUGGAGAAAAUAACUACAAAUUUACCUGCUUCUGAUAAGAAGCUCGUGAAAUGAUUGGAAGAUUGCUUGCUAGACAUGUCAUCUCCCGGCCAACUCGUUCAAACUUCUCCCAUGUCUACAUCAGAAACAAAUAUCCAUACAGAUACAUGAAUAUGAUGACACUUUACUCAGAAUAUUGUUUGCCUGAAUGUUAUGCAACUUCAGGUGAAACAACAAUAGCAAGCAAGCAGUUUCAUUGAGCACUGCUCCUAUACUAGCUACAACAUGGAAUGUGCUACUUAGAAAACAUGAUUCAUCCUCCCUUGGGAGUCUCCUGGUUGGAUGAUUCAAACUGUUUGGAAGGCCAAGGCAGCUAAUGUGCAAUCAAAUGGUGCAAACAUAGGAACUAGUUUCAGAACAACAGUGUAUAAAGGGCUUUCUCUACUCUGCCAAGUAAAGUGAAGUUUAUGUAUCUAUACUAGAUAAAGCUCAAGAAUAAACAAGAAAGCAGUUAUUUUUUCCGAUGAUUGAGUAAAAUGGAGAUAAAGCUACCUGCUGGAUAUCUUUGUUGAACAACGCCGGAUUCUGUGCAUAACUUCCGUUUCUCAUGUUGGCGUCAAUUCUCCCCAAAUCAAUGACCUCAUGAACAUUAUUCACAUGGAAAGUUUCAACUAGCAGAUCACACAGCAGGGCAAAUUUCUCAGAGACUAAAAUGUCAAGGAGAGCACUGUUGCACAUUGCUGUGUUGGCAUCCAAAGAUGCUGCAGUUGCAUCUUUUAACGCAACAAAGGAACAAAUCUCUUUCGCAUCCGCCAGCCCAGUAGGAUGCUCAUCUGACGAAUCUUGGGCCUUCCCAAGGUCACCCUGGUAAUCACAGAAGUUCACCGUCAGUUUCAUAUCACAGUAUAACAAGGUUGCUCUUUUUAUUAAAUAGAUAUGAGAAAAGCAAAGAAGAUGAUGACUGACUUGUUGUUCAGAUUGGCAGCGGUUGUAUCUGAGAGCGUCACAGAUGCAGCUGUGAAUCCCACCGCCCUUAUUUAUACCUGGGGCUUGCAGGUAGCCCUCCAAUGUGUUCUUCCAAGUAAUCCAAUGCCUGGCCAGCAUUGGGUGCCCAUCUUGGCGAGAAUUGCCACCGUACAGCAUCAUGGCGGCACUAGACUGCACGGAAAUAAAGCAACCAAGCACAUUGGACACGGUUCGGUUAUGUAUUACAGUAUAAAAUAGGCAUCUCAGGAGUCAGGAGACAGAAUUCCUAGGAACAAGUAGCAGGAGCCGAGAUUCAGAGCAAUUCGAAAGAACAGAGUGAGCAAAUCUAGCCGCGUGAAAUGAAAUCUUGGCUGGAGUGCUUAUGGCACCAGGAAGCCAGAGAUGUCCCAGUUGCAACAGCGGAACACGGCGGCGGGCGGGCGGGGGGAAGAAAGAAUGGAAGACGGGGAGAGCAGGGGUUAGAUGCGAAAGCUUGGCUCACCUGUCCGGGGUCGGAGCUGGCGCCGCCGUCGGCGCGGGAGGCGGCGCGGCGGCGCUUGCGCGUGUAAGUGAGGACGCCGCCGCCGCUGCUUCCGCCGGGGGUCUCCGGGGCGCGGCGCUUGGGCGGGACCGGCGGCCGGCUGGCGCCGUCCUGGGAGGCGGACAUCUUGGCUCCCGUCCGGCGAGGCUACAGCAUGUGUUUUCCCCGGCGAAGAGCGGGGCCUAGACUGGGAACUCAGCGGGAGCGCAGCCGCGGCGGGGAGGACGGCCGAGGGGGCUGGUUUCUAGGGUUUGCGGAGGGGCGGUUUGCUGGGGAAGGAUUUGGGGAUUUGUGUGGGGAGCGAGGAGCGGGAGGAAGGAAGAAGAAGAGAUUUUGCGAAACGGAAACGGGGAAAGAAACGGAAACGCGGACGGACAGGCUGUGUGUGUGCUCGCCGUCACGGCUGCCUGCUUUCAACUCUCUCUCUUCCGUCUCCACCAAUUCAAAGUGCUCACGAAAUUGGCAGCGGACGUUCGUUUGGUAUGCUUAGGGGGCGACAUCCCCGGUGAGGAGAUAUACGGUGGAGGAUGAGGCGUUGGGUCGGUAGGCUUAGGGGUCCACGUCUCCGGUGAGGUUUGGUAGGAGGAGAUAUACGGCGGAGGGUUGGGUCGGCAUGCUUAGGGGGUGACAUCUUCGGCGUUGUUGGGGUAGUAGGAGGAGAAGGAAAGGGGGAAGGGGGAGGACGGCUGAUCGUGGUGACGGUGAGGUUGUAUGUAUAGGUGGCCAACUAAGCGGAAGGAUUCGAUUUUCGUUGGUGAGGAAAUGUCUUCCCGUGGCUGUGUAAGGAAGGAGAGGCCGUGUCAAUAGGAAAUGAGCGAGAAGAGGGGCAGGAGGAAGGAGAGGCGGCUGCAAGAGGGGAGGAGCGACGAGAGGCAGACAGGGAGAAAACCCUAAUAAGGCAACAGCUGUAGGGCUAAAUGGGCUAUAGUCCAUAGUUGGGUUGUGCUUUCGCUCUCUUCUUUUUUUCCUCAUGUUCCCCGUUGUUAUCCCAGGCCUUAAUCGCUCUCUUAUUUUUUUUUCCUUGUUGGCCCGUUCGGGCAGCCCAAGCACUGUAUACGCGAGUUGGGCACCGGGUGGAAACAAAAUGUCAUCCACUGCCCAAUGCCUUCCCAAACCUUAUAGGUCACUACGUAUUCAACACAAGUAAAGAACUUCGUACCAAACAUUCAUUUGGUAAUGCUUACGGACGAUCUCUUCUAGGAGGAUAUGUGCGGGACAGGAGAUGUCGAAGAGAAGGUAAGAUGGGAAGACAAAGGACCGCUGCCCUUGACAACGCGUUUGUACGUGUCAAACAGUAUUGAAACAAGUAGAUAACUUUGCACCAAACUCUUAGCUCGGUAAUGCUUAGAUGGCGAUGUCUUUUGUGCCGCUUCGGUAGGAGGAAAUGUGUGUAGAAGAGAAACCGAGGAGGAAGAAAAUAAGGGGAAGGAACGCAUGCAGCUGACCUUAACAAUGGCGAAGUCGAACGAAUCACUUGGUGUGGCCACAAGACGACGGCGUGGUCGAAUGGAGUGGCUGAUCCAAGCGGGCGGUGCCCCCACUUGACCACGGGACAACGCCGAUGGCUUGCGGGACGACGACGAUGUUAGAUCUAAGAAACGGUGUGGCGGCGGAUCUGAGAAGAAAGAGGCGGAGGGGAAAAGAGGGUUUGGGAGACUAACCAUACGUGGCUAUAAAUACAAUCGAUGAUGUCCUGGGAAAACAUGAGGCGCAAUUGCGGAGGCAAAUAAAUGUACUACAUAAAUGAGCCAAUUUUGUGAGGAAAUUUCUCUCUUUCAUAUCAGAAAGUCUGUAUGUACGACGAUUUCGUGUGAUCUACUCGCCGAUCCAUAAUAAAUGAGCGACACUUCUUAUGGAUCUGAGGGAGUACUAAAUUUCCUCAAGCCCAAGCCCAAGCCCAGAUGGCAAUGCUAGUAGUUUGUCUUUCAUAUAGCUUUGCUAGGCCAUCUGUAUACACGCUGAAAAAAAAAAUUGCAGGCCAUGCCAGCCAGCCUCACAAAGUCAGGUGACUUAAGUCAGAGAAUACUGGCUGGUGUCAGAUGGUAGCUAAUUCCAGUUAAAUGUUGUCAAUUUUCAAAGCAGAAGCAUGAAACUACAAAAAAUAGUGGCAAUACAGAUAUGCGUAUAGAAUAUUGAUUUGCUAUCUUUCUUUCUUUUUGCAAGGAAAGUGCCAUUCCCUUGCCUGAGGAUACUAUAUUUACCACUGCCGCGUCGUUUCUCCCCUCGGCGGCAGUGAGACAUCAUAUCAGAAGGCGCUGGAGACUACAUAGCCUGCCAACGAAGAACAUCACACAGCAUGAUCCAGCAACGGGCCGCUCGCUUUGCCUCUAAAUGAGGUUGUCAUCCCUUCGCCAAGCCUUUUACCUGAACAUGGUGUGCUCAUCCCGUUAGAUGAAGACCUCAAUCAAAUUGUGAACUGGACAGAUAAGAUGUUGGAUGAUGCAAGAUAUGACAAUUUUGAUGUGAAAAGGAAAGACCAAAUACUGGCAAGAUCUCUAUACGUGAUAUCAUAAUAGUCAAUAGAAGAUCAGCAUGAGUGGAAUCACAUAAGUAAUGUCAUAAAACUUAUCAUCAGGGCUUACUCUCUAUCAAGUCAAAAAAGGAAAAUUUGCAGUGGCUGGUAUAGUUUAAAACAUGGUGAAAAGGAAAAAUUGCAGCAGCGAGGUGCUAUGUAUUAGAGCUCUUUUACGGUACCCCGGAAUUAAUAUUGGCCAUCCAUUCACCCCAAUCUAAUGGCUAUUGUUAUCGGGUACUCCACCGAUGGUUCUCUGGAGUACUACCUCGAAAAGGCACGGAGUACCUUGUUACAAGGGGUAAAAUAGUAAUCAGAGACUUUCUUAUUUCUCAUUAGGGGCAAUCUCUGAGUUUUUCCUCGCAAUCAACAUGAAAACAUUCCCCGUGUGAAAAAAUUAUAACCCGAUGAACCCUAAUUCUAAACAGGUGAGACCAUCAUCCAUAGAUUCAAUCGUAGGUCUAAAAUAAAUCAAUGGUAGAGAUGUAUAAUUGAUCCAAGAAUCCACUAGGAGGCUGCACAAUUGAUCAAUCCAUACGUGCUGUCGCUGCUGUGAUCCAAGAAUCCACGAGGAGUCUGCACAAUUGAUUGAUCCAUACAUGUUGUCCUUGCUGUGAACAGCGCCAUCAGAAUCCCGGACAGCGCUGUGCAGCCUGUAGCGGGUGAGCGGCGCGUGCGAUCAAGAAUAAAAGUGAACCAUCGACGGCGGGCAGAUCUGGCGGCUAGACAGCGGCGUGACCGACGGGGGCUUGAUCGUUCGUCGCCUCGUCGGUGGCCAGACGCGAGGGCAGGGCCGCUCGAUCAGCACUGUUCAGUCAAAACAGCCCUUACAAAAUGUCCAAAUUACCCUCAUGUUUGGACGGCCAGAUUUAUUUGGUACUCCAAUCCAUGCCAAAGAGUACCAGGGUACCGUAAAAAAGCUCAUGUAUUAUUGGUAGCUGGCUUCAACAAGUCAUGACAACUUGAAAUUUAAAUACAGUGAAAACAUGUGGAACUUUGUCAGGAUCAGAAGACUUAUUCUUAACACCGUUCAUCAUGUUGAGAGCACAGGGUUUGCAUAAACAAAGCAAAAACGCGUAAACCUCAGCAACCUAACAACUAAGAACUCACUUGCUAUUAGUUUUAAUUUGGUAUGGUUUCGUAUAUGUUGGAAUGUUUGAUUUUGUUGGAAUUUCCAAAGUGAACUAAAUGACGUAAACAACAAGCCAGGCAACUGGAAUCUGCAAUCGACAAUGGCAGUAGAAAAGUGUAGUGAUAUAUGUAUGUACCUGGGAGAAGAUGAGCAGCCGGAACUGUUAUGGGUCACAGAGAACACAUUGGAGAGAGACUUUGUGAGGUAUGCAAAGUUUGGUAUCGGCGGCAACGCGGGCACACGCUCCCCUUUCCUCAGCAGCUCCUCCAAGUCGAGCCUUUGCAAAGUGAGUACAGACUUGUUGUCUCUCCAAACAAAGGCGAGCCGGCCAUCCUGGAGAGCAAAGAGUGACCCGGGCUUUGAGCCAGGGUACCUGAACCCAUACCCCGCUGCAAUGCCCUCCCCGGCAAAGCUUCUCGCAAUGUCCACACGGCGGGAAUCCUCGUCGGACUGCCAUGGAAAUGCCUCUGUCGAUGGCUCGCCCAUCCGCGCGAUAAACAUGGCCGACCCAUUGGGAUGCACGACAUAGUGUGUGCCCUCCAACACCUUGGUUGCGAUCAGCAUAAGCUUCCUCUCGCUGUCUUCCUCGUAGGAGAGGAGCAGGAAGAAGAGGGCCUUCCGUGGUUUGCGGUCAUCCUCCGGCCGCCCCGGUGGCCACCCGAAUGUGCCUCCCCACAGUCCGGCAUACUCCCGGCCGGGCACCGGCGCCUGUGUCGCCAGCUUGUAGAGCGCGAACCGGUUGCCAUGCAUGCUUGGCCACGCUCGGUAGGUCGACAGCCGCAGCUGGGCGCCCCGGAGGCUCAGGCCAACGCUCUUGCCGGCGCGCAAGAACUCGUCCAAUGCCAGAUGCUUGCUGCCUCCGAACUCUACCGUUGAAUUGGCCGACGCAGAGCGCGUCACCAUCUGCAGCAGCCCUUUCCUGACGAACCCGGCCAUCGCAGACAGGCUCCUCCGAAGGGGAACCUUAUCACCUGCAGCAUCGCCGUUCGUCGUCGGCGGCAUCUUCUUGGCUGCUUCCAGCAGCAGAGCCUCGAGCUCUGCCCGGCUCACCAUGCCGCCGCCGGACGACGACGAAUCCUUGUGCAGACGCAGCAUCGCCUCCCGGCGCGCGGCGAGCAAGGGGAGGUCCUCAUCGGAGCGCGCGAAGAGCGGCGCCGCGGCGAGGUCCGGCGGGAGCUUGACGCGGCAGGAGGCGACGAGCGCAUCGAGCAGGCCGCAGCGGUUACCGAAGGAGAGGCGGGAGAAGCUGGAGGAGGAAGAAGAGGGAGAAGGCGCGAGGGCCUCGAGGAGGAGGGCGUUGGUGUUGGGGUGGAGGGAGGAGAGGCGGCCGGGGAAGAGGGAUCCGGCGCCGUGGAGGAAGAGGAGCGCGGGGCGGCCAUGGGCGUCGGCGAGGAGCUCGAAGACGGGCGCCCAGCGGAGGCGCGGGGAGAGCUCCUGCGGGAUGGCGCGGAUGGCGACGAGGGAGAGGAACCCCGGGAGCGCCGCCACCAGGUUGCCCAGCUCCGGGUUCUGCUGCGCCCAGAGACCGCGGAGCGGGGCCGCGGAGUGGAGGAAGCGGCAGACGGUAAGAGAGGAGCCCCCGGCGGCGGCGCGCCAUGAGAGGAGGUGCGACGGCGGGGAAGAAGAAGGGAGCAGGCGGCGGCACUGCGCCAGCCAGGGCUUGUCGGCAGCGGAGAGGGCCGCGUGGAGGCGGCGGUCGGCGGCGGAGAGCGCCAGGAGGUCCCGCGGGCGGAGGUGGGCGGAGAUCAGGGCCAGCACGUCGUCCGGGAGCGCCAGGAUCAGCUCGCCCCCGGCCAUGGAGAUCGGGGUUGGGUGGGCCGUCUGCUUCCUUUCGCCUUUUUCUUUUCUUUUCUCAACCUCAAAAAAGUUCCAAGCUUUAUAAUCCUGCGAGAAGAAGACUGUGAAGAGUGACAAGCUCAGCCUGGUCUUUUUCCUCGGACGAUGAAGAAAUAUCUCUUUUUUUUUGCAUUUCGCUCUCGUGCUAUUCUCGCUGGCCACCUUGCUAAAAUAUCUCGAACCACUGUCUACACCAUUUUAUUACGCUUAUCGGUCUAUUUAUCUGCAGUUUCCUCCACAUUGCUCGACAUUGAUAAAUCACCUUCUCUAGUCACCUUCAUGCACCACAAGCUUCAGUGGAUUUACCAAUAAUUUCUUAACCCGAGUCUCUUUCGGACCCAAAAGGUGGACACACAAACUACGUGAUCAACAAGAAUGAUGUGAUACGAGGCAACAAGCAAGGAUCCGCGUCCGUUCAUGGGUUCGGAGUGUCAAAACUCAGCUCUAUGUUUCGUAGGAUUUUUACAGAAUUUCAAUCCUAGGAGUUUUUUUCUACAUGUAGCAUGGUUUCAGAACGAACAUGUUAGAUUUCUAAGAACUGUAUCCAAAUUGGCAUAAUUCAUAAGGAUUCUAAACAUCAGGUACGAGCUCAUUUAAAAUUAUUAAAGAAUAAAUAUGCAUGACAUUUCAAUCAUCUAUUUUCAUAUUCAUAUGAUUUCAAAAUCCUAUGAACCGAAUAAGCCCUAGGAUUACGACGUUGUCAAGGGUCAAGAAUGUAAAAAAGAAAAGUGUUAUAGAAGGGAAAAAAACGUCACCGUCAAAAAGAAUGAAUUAGUUUUGAUUUGGUCACAAGGUCUAGAAGAAGAAGAUGCUGCUUCUUGGUGGAUGUCAUGUCGACGUCAAGAUCACCUAUUGGCACAUUUCGUCCAGUCGUCGUUUGUAGUUUAUGUCCAGCGAAUUUGAGACCCGGUCAAACAGUGAACUCAUCAUCCUCGACGACUUUGACCAGGGUGGGUCCUUUGGGCCUUAAAAGACUCUCCUCGCUUUGGGCCCAUUAUAUUAGACAAGACCCCUUAUACAAAACAAGAGAGAGGCCAAGCCCAUGAGCAGAAGAACGCAACGGGCUGUGGGCCGGAAGCAGUAUCACCGUGGCAUCGAGAGCAGAUUACUUUUUAUUCGCUCAAACUAACAAUGAAACCUGCCCUAAAAAAAAACUAACAAUGAAUGAUCCCUAAAAAAAAAUUACCACUUGAAUGACAGGUCGUCCUCUACAAUUAUGGUUGUUUACAUGGCCUAAAUCAGCCAACUUUGUCUGACCACUCUGCUCUACGGUCGAAUCUAAGCUAGUAACUUAAUGGGCUUGUUUGGUCCUAAUCAUGGAAGAUGAUGAUUGGUCUAUGACAUAGAUACAGACUGGGACAGGGGCGCCAGACUCGUGCCUAAUCCUUCUUGUUUCAUCCAAGAAAAGUCUUAAGCCGUAUACACUGCCAGCCGGUACGCAUCGCAAUCUCAGGAUGACGCUCAAAUUGUCAAACCAGUUUGUCCUAAGAUGAGUUUUUUGUUUUGUUCAACGUAUAGCUGUAAUGGUCUGAUGGCAAAGAAUCUAACUGAAUGUAUAGCUGCAUGGUCUGAUGACAAAAGAGUACGCAUCUCAGAAAAAUGCGGGCAAGAACACAAGCAAAACCAAAGAUUAAUACGAUAACACACUGUACGAAAUUAACACUGGAUAGAGAUCGAAAAAUAACAAUCAAGAAAUACGUAAAUGUAACCCUGCAAAAGAAACAUAAAUGUACUGCAUAAUUACAGUACACAAUAAUACUUGUUGCAGCAAAACUCUGAUGAUCAUCAUCAUUUCUGAUUGUGAAGACGUCCUUUCAAUGAAAUUCAAUCAAGAAACCAAUUGCUUCAUUGCUCAUGAUAGCUACGAGUAGCUAGUAACGGCAUGAAAUCGAGAUCAUCUUAAUCUGUUUUGCAGCUGAUUGCAUGCUCCUCAUUUCUUGGCGGCGGCAUUGCUGGAGGAGGAAGAAGCUGAAGCAGAGGAGGUCCUCUGUUCGUCGACCUUGUGCACCACCUUGCUCCUGCCUCUGUGCGCCACCAACAUCUUCCUCAGCGCGCGCAUCAUCGCCACCAGCCCCGGCGCCCUUCUCCGGGACGAGCCGCUCCUCCUCGCCGCCGCGACCUGCAGCACCGCCACCUCGCGCUCCUCCUUCGCUGCCCGCCGCCGGCGGGAAAUGUCGAAGGACAGGUCGUCGUCGGCCAAGUCCUCCCUGCCGUCGUCGUUGAGGUCCUCCCACAGGCUGUCCAUCAUCUCCUCUUCUUCGUCCUCGGCUCCGGCGGGGGAGCAGAAAUUGGCGCGCCAUGGCGAUGCGGGAGCGGCGCUGGAGUCCGCGGCAGAGAAGCUGCGGCGGAUGGGCGACGACGAGAGCAGCCACGCCGGCGGCGGAGACGCGGACGCCCUGCUGUAAUUCCGGCGGUGGCUGUAGGUGCUGCUGCUGCAGCAGGCGGCGGCGAGGAGCUGAGGCGGCGGCGUGGGGAAGCUGAAGUCGUCGUCUUGCUCCGCCAUCGCCAUUGCCUAUUCUCUUCUCCCUUCUCUGCUCUGCUCUGUUCUGCUACUGCUGGAUUGCGUCUUGGUGGGGAAGAAGAUGCCAGUAGUGCUUCUGUUACCUAGCUACGUGUUGACUCUCAUCAAAUAAGGAGAGGAAGAUACCUCAAAAAAAAAAGUAGCUGGAGUUUGGUCCAACCGCAAGUAUUUUGAUUGAUGCUUGAUUGGUGGUCAAUCAAGGCAUUCCCUAUUGAUGCUGUAUCAGUAAUUUGUUUCAUGCGUACAAACUUUGAGCUAGAGUUGGCUCCAAGUUUUGCUUCAACGUUUGACCUCUUGAGCUGCACAUAUAUUCAGUUUACUACUCACCCCUUGUUUCCAACACGGCAUAAAAACUCAACUUAGGACAGUUCAUUUGAGCAUCAUCCUGAGAUUGCGAUGCAUACCGGCUGGCAGUGUACAGCUCAAGACUUUCUCUUGGACGAAAACAAGAAGAAUUAGGCACGACGAGUAUGAUGUCAAAAAAAUAAAACAAAAAAAUUAGGCACGAUUCCGGCCCCCGUGAUGUCUGUCAUAGACCACUGAUAUUCCAUGAUUAGGACCGAACCCAUUGUUAAAUUAGUACUAGAAGCUUAGGUUCGACCGUAAGAUUAAGAAGCAGAGUGGACAGACGAAGUUGGUUAAGUUAGGCCAUGUAAACGACGAUAAUUGCAGCGAGCAGGCUGUUCAUUAAUUAAUUAGCACAAAACAGGGUUCAAACGGUCCUUGAUACUUCUAUGUCUGAGGUCAACUGCCGUCUGUGUAGCACUUGACGACGGAUGAGAACAUGCCACUGGCUAAUUAAUUGGCAAACAGAUUGCCAUGACAUACAUUACCUAUCCGUCUAAAAUGUUGCAGCGAUCCAGUAAUUCCGGUGGCUGGUUGCUUCUUGUCUCUAAUUCUUUGUUUUGAUUUGAGAAAACCCAGCCGAAAUGCUGGGCUGGGCUGUAUCCAAAUUCAUGUUAAGGUUUUGGCCCACAAGUCCAUUACCAUCACAAACAAUUAGCUUCUCUGUCCGCUCAAAAAAAAAAAAAGCUUCUCUCGUCCUGUCUCGUGACUGUCCUCGACAUACAUACUUUAUCUUUUGUCUUCUUUGAAAGAAAGAAUGCACAUGUAUACUUAUUUUCAUUCCGUUUGUUGCAAGUAUACAUCGUUCGUCCUAGUAAUGCAUACUGCACGUUCCAGAGAAAUCAGGACACUUGGACCAUUGCUUGAGUAUCAUCACUGUCGGCUUGGUUAAACAUCCCAAUUCCCAAAAUAAAACCAUAACAGAUACAUGUCACCCUCCCCGUGGAUCGCACUAGCAAUGGCUAUGUUUCCAGGAGACAAUCACAGCAGAAAUUGGACCCAGCAAGGCAGCAAGGACGAUAAGAACCUGACACAAUAGAUAAGCGAUUGAUGGGAUGGAAACAAAAUUUAAGCAGCGGUGAGGCCUUUGCACAAAAUUUAAGCAGCAGCCAACCACCAAAGAAAACAUGGAGGAUGUCCGGAUCGUCUCCCGGCGCAUGAUCCGGCCGGAGCCGACGAGCACGCGGCGGCCGCCGGAGCUGGAGCCGGAGACGGUGAUCCACCUGACGCCAUGGGACCUCCAGAUGGUGACCGUGGAGCACAUCCAGAAGGGCAUCCUCCUGCCCAAGCAUCCACAGGGGCACAGCCAUGCCGUCGAACGGCUCGCGUCGUCCUUCGCGCUCGCUCUGGGACGCUUCUACCCCUUUGCCGGCCGGCUCACCGUCGAGGAGCUCCAGCAGGACGGCGGCAUCGCCAUGUCGCUGCGCUGCAGCGGCGAGGGCGCGGAGUUCGUCCACGCCGUGGCGCCCGGCGUCACCGUCGCCGACAUCACCUCGCCGGUGUACGUCCCGCCGGUGGUCUGGUCCUUCUUCCCGCUCGACGGGGUGCUCGGCUUGGACGCCGCCGUGGCCUCCCUACCGGUGCUGGCCGUGCAGGCCACCGAGCUCGACGACGGCGUCUUCCUCGCCAUGUCGCUCAACCACGGCGUCGCCGACGGCACCACCUUCUGGCACUUCUUCAACACCUGGUCCGAGAUCAGCCGCCGGAGCGGCAACCACGACGCCGCCGCCAUCGGCUGCGAGAUCGCCUCGCCGUUGCCGUUGCUCCAAAGGUGGUUCCCUGAAGGCUGCCCCAUCCCCAUCCCUCUGCCCUUCGACAAGCCGGAGGACAUUGUCGGCGACCAGCGUGCCAAGUACCCGUCGGUGCAGGAAUGCUUCUUCCGUUUCUCCGCGGAGAGCGUAAAGGAGCUCAAGGCGAAGGCGAACGCCGAGAUGGCUGGCGCCCCAGCCACCAUCUCCUCGCUACAAGCCCUCUUCGCGCACAUGUGGCGCGCCGUGUGCCGAGCCCGACGCCUCGCGCGAGACCAGGACGUGACGUACAUCAUCCUAGUCGGAUGUCGAGGCCGCUUGGAGAGCAUGCCAUCGGCCUACAUGGGCAAUGCCGUGUCGCUUAUCAUGGCGAGGUCGACUGCCGGCGAGAUCCUGGACAAGGGGCUGGGCUGGGCAGGAUGGCUCCUGAACCGGGCCGUGGCAUCGUUCAACAUGGCGAGCGCAACGGCUGAGACCGCGUCUUGGCCUCGGAACCCUGGCUUCGUGCGUCCUCUGGCGUCCGUGUUAGACGGUCAACCAAAGUUGUCCACGGGGAGCUCGCCACGGUUCGACAUCUACGGAAACGACUUCGGAUGGGGCAGCCCGGUGACCGUGCGGAGCGGCUCGGCGAACAAGGUGGACGGGAAGAUGACGGUGUAUGAGGGCGGCGAGGGUGCCGGUAGCAUGGCGCUGGAGGUGUGCCUUGCUCCGGAGGCGCUCGCCAGGCUCGUCGCCGACCAAGAAUUCAUGGACGUGGUGAGCUCAACCAAGGAGUGAUCAAUGAUCAAUCGAGCUCCUUUUCUUAACCACCGUGCCUAUGUUAAGUCUUAGAUCUGCAUCACUCAUCCUCUAUGAAAUUUAUGUAUUUGCCAAGAACCACUGGAAUGAUGAUAUUUUGCAGUACUAGUGAAGUGUCCAGAUGUUGGUUGCAGCCCACCAUUCAACAGAAAUCAAGCAAUCACAAGAAAGCUUAUCAAACAAUCAUCUGAUCAUGUAAAGCUUAAGGGAUUCAAUUUCACUCAAGAUCACACAAAGGAGUACAUACAACAUUAAUUAAUUGCAGGAUCUUCACCCUCGAGCAGUGAACAAGUAAAAAAACUAUCAUCCCCAACAUGUUUCCAUUCCGUGUAGAAGCUAAUUAAGCAGCGAAGUACCAUCCCCAACCCCUCCAUUAAUCUUACAAGGUACUGAGGUGUAAUCACUGAGAACCUGCUGAUCCUUCCAUCUCAUUUUGCUUUGCUUUGUGUAGACCAACGAUCCAAGACCAGCAGCACUAGUGGAUGAACAAUCGUAGUAGCUAGUUUCUUUAUGUGAUGAUAAAAAGACCGUCUAGACUAGCCGUGGUAGUAUUACAUUACAGACGUAUUACAGGGAGAAUCAAAGAAGAGAAGAUUUCUGGUCAGACCUCGAAGUGCUCCAUCUG